AGACAGCAGUAGCCACGGUAAUCCGUAGGGUGCAAGCGUUAAUCGGAAUUACUGGGCGUAAAGCGUGCGCAGGCGGUUAUAUAAGUCAGAUGUGAAAUCCCCGGGCUUAACCUGGGAACUGCGCUUGUGACUGCACAGCUAGAGUAUGGCAGAGGGGGGUGGAAUUCCACGUGUAGCAGUGAAAUGCGUAGAGAUGUGGAGGAACACCGAUGGCGAAGGCAGCCCCCUGGGCCAAUACUGACGCUCAUGCACGAAAGCGUGGGGAGCAAACAGGAUUAGAUACCCCUGUAGUCCCUGUCUCUUAUAC
rnacentral:rRNA from 1 species